UACAAAGAAUCAAUAAAUUAUUCUGGAAAAUCUCCUAUUAUGACCAAAGCCAUAGCUGGCUACAACUGGAAAACCAGUGAUAUUGAUGAAAAUUUUAAUAUUUCAUAUGCUGCACUGCAGGAAGAAGGUCCUACAGAGAAACAGAAAGGCUAUAUAUAUACAUACCAAGCCACCAGUUUAUUCUGAUCCAACACCACCAAGAAAGAAAUGCUUAUUUGGCAAAAAUCUUACAAGCAUUUAUGUCGACAGAAAGCUGCCUGCUCCAAAACUUGAUAUGUUAUCCAUAAUUGCAGGGAAAGGACGAGAAUCAGAUCACAUAUUCGAAAUUCUACCUGAAAAUUCACAUUGGUGCCUCAGAGAGAGGCUUGACAGUGAACAACUCAUUGAAUGGAUUAAAGAAUUCAUGCUUG